rnacentral:rRNA from 1 species
GACGAACGCUGGCGGCGUGCUUAACACAUGCAAGUCGAACGGAAAGGCCCUGCUUUCGUGGGGUGCUCGAGUGGCGAACGGGUGAGUAACACGUGAGUAACCUGCCCUUGACUUUGGGAUAACUUCAGGAAACUGGGGCUAAUACCGGAUAGGAGCUCCUGCUGCAUGGAGGGGGUUGGAAAGUUUCGGCGGUCGGGGAUGGAUUCGCGGCUUAUCAGCUUGUUGGUGGGGUAGUGGCUUACCAAGGCUUUGACGGGUAGCCGGCCUGAGAGGGUGACCGGCCACAUUGGGACUGAGGUACGGCCCAGACUCCUACGGGAGGCAGCAGUGGGGAAUAUUGCACAAUGGGCGGGAGCCUGAUGCAGCAGCGCCGCGUGCGGGAUGACGGCCUUCGGGUUGUAAACCGCUUUCGCCUGUGACGAAGCGUGAGUGACGGUAAUGGGUAAAGAAGCACCGGCUAACUACGUG